CUCGUGAAUUCAUCUCCGGGGGUAGAGCACUGUUUCGGCAAGGGGGUCAUCCCGACUUACCAACCCGAUGCAAACUGCGAAUACCGGAGAAUGUUAUCACGGGAGACACACGGCGGGUGCUAACGUCCGUCGUGAAGAGGGAAACAACCCAGACCGCCAGCUAAGGUCCCAAAGUCAUGGUUAAGUGGGAAACGAUGUGGGAAGGCCCAGACAGCCAGGAUGUUGGCUUAGAAGCAGCCAUCAUUUAAAGAAAGCGUAAUAGCUCACUGGUCGAGUCGGCCUGCGCGGAAGAUGUAACGGGGCUAAACCAUGCACCGAAGCUGCGGCAGCGACGCUGAUGCGUUGUUGGGUAGGGGAGCGUUCUGUAAGCCUGCGAAGGUGUGCUGUGAGGCAUGCUGGAGGUAUCAGAAGUGCGAAUGCUGACAUAAGUAACGAUAAAGCGGGUGAAAAGCCCGCUCGCCGGAAGACCAAGGGUUCCUGUCCAACGUUAAUCGGGGCAGGGUGAGUCGACCCCUAAGGCGAGGCCGAAAGGCGUAGUCGAUGGGAAACAGGUUAAUAUUCCUGUACUUGGUGUUACUGCGAAGGGGGGACGGAGAAGGCUAUGUUGGCCGGGCGACGGUUGUCCCGGUUUAAGCGUGUAGGCUGGUUUUCCAGGCAAAUCCGGAAAAUCAAGGCUGAGGCGUGAUGACGAGGCACUACGGUGCUGAAGCAACAAAUGCCCUGCUUCCAGGAAAAGCCUCUAAGCAUCAGGUAACAUCAAAUCGUACCCCAAACCGACACAGGUGGUCAGGUAGAGAAUACCAAGGCGCUUGAGAGAACUCGGGUGAAGGAACUAGGCAAAAUGGUGCCGUAACUUCGGGAGAAGGCACGCUGAUAUGUAGGUGAAGUCCCUCGCGGAUGGAGCUGAAAUCAGUCGAAGAUACCAGCUGGCUGCAACUGUUUAUUAAAAACACAGCACUGUGCAAACACGAAAGUGGACGUAUACGGUGUGACGCCUGCCCGGUGCCGGAAGGUUAAUUGAUGGGGUUAGCGCAAGCGAAGCUCUUGAUCGAAGCCCCGGUAAACGGCGGCCGUAACUAUAACGGUCCUAAGGUAGCGAAAUUCCUUGUCGGGUAAGUUCCGACCUGCACGAAUGGCGUAAUGAUGGCCAGGCUGUCUCCACCCGAGACUCAGUGAAAUUGAACUCGCUGUGAAGAUGCAGUGUACCCGCGGCAAGACGGAAAGACCCCGUGAACCUUUACUAUAGCUUGACACUGAACAUUGAGCCUUGAUGUGUAGGAUAGGUGGGAGGCUUUGAAGUGUGGACGCCAGUCUGCAUGGAGCCGACCUUGAAAUACCACCCUUUAAUGUUUGAUGUUCUAACGUUGACCCGUAAUCCGGGUUGCGGACAGUGUCUGGUGGGUAGUUUGACUGGGGCGGUCUCCUCCUAAAGAGUAACGGAGGAGCACGAAGGUUGGCUAAUCCUGGUCGGACAUCAGGAGGUUAGUGCAAUGGCAUAAGCCAGCUUGACUGCGAGCGUGACGGCGCGAGCAGGUGCGAAAGCAGGUCAUAGUGAUCCGGUGGUUCUGAAUGGAAGGGCCAUCGCUCAACGGAUAAAAGGUACUCCGGGGAUAACAGGCUGAUACCGCCCAAGAGUUCAUAUCGACGGCGGUGUUUGGCACCUCGAUGUCGGCUCAUCACAUCCUGGGGCUGAAGUAGGUCCCAAGGGUAUGGCUGUUCGCCAUUUAAAGUGGUACGCGAGCUGGGUUUAGAACGUCGUGAGACAGUUCGGUCCCUA
rnacentral:rRNA from 1 species